rnacentral:lncRNA from 1 species
GAUCGAUGGAUGGUCUUACUUAUCCAGUGCUCCACCGUUAAUGUUAAAAUCCACAAGGCCUCUUGAAUACGGGGAGGAUAACUUCGAGUGUAUCGAUCGACGAUGCAGGGUAAUAAGAAUAUGCUGAUUUCAUAGGCAGCGAAAAUCUGAGAGGGAGAGGGAAGUGAUCCCUCGAUGAUCUCUAAAUCACUGAAAUCCCACCUGCAUGACAUGCGAAGAUGAAGAAAACAAAUUAGGAACAUUCACCUCUAAGCUUGGGAAAGAGAUCGAGAGUUUGAGGCUGGUCACCAUAAUUCGUCCAGACACUGCUGAAAUGGGGUUCUCAUAGGGAACCAUUUAAAAACAAAGCCUUUCUGAAGGAGUUUGAAAACAUCAGUCGUUGAAUCCAUUUCAGGAGAACCAGCCGUGGGAAUCGCAGCCAGAAACCUGCAGGAAGGCUCAAGA